UGAGGAAUAUUGGUCAAUGGGCGCAAGCCUGAACCAGCCAUGCCGCGUGCAGGAUGACGGUCCUAUGGAUUGUAAACUGCUUUUAUACGGGAAGAAACAGCGGAACGUGUUCCGCCUUGACGGUACCGUAGGAAUAAGGAUCGGCUAACUCCGUGCCAGCAGCCGCGGUAAUACGGAGGAUCCAAGCGUUAUCCGGAAUCAUUGGGUUUAAAGGGUCCGUAGGCGGCCCUGUAAGUCAGUGGUGAAAUCUCCCGGCUCAACCGGGAAAUUGCCAUUGAUACUGCAGGGCUUGAAUUACUGGGAAGUAACUAGAAUAUGUAGUGUAGCGGUGAAAUGCUUAGAGAUUACAUGGAAUACCAAUUGCGAAGGCAGGUUACUACCAGUGGAUUGACGCUGAUGGACGAAAGCGUGGGUAGCGAACA
rnacentral:rRNA from 1 species